UACGAUGAAGAGUUUGAUCCUGGCUCAGGAUGAACGCUAGCGGCAGGCCUAACACAUGCAAGUCGAGGGGUAUAGUAGCAAUACUAGAGACCGGCGCACGGGUGCGUAACGCGUAUGCAAUCUACCUUGUUCAAAGGGAUAGCCCAGAGAAAUUUGGAUUAAUACCUUAUAGUAUUAUAAAGUGGCAUCAUUUAAUAAUUAAAGAUUUAUCGGAACAAGAUGAGCAUGCGUCCCAUUAGCUAGUUGGUAUGGUAACGGCAUACCAAGGCUAUGAUGGGUAGGGGUCCUGAGAGGGAGAUCCCCCACACUGGUACUGAGACACGGACCAGACUCCUACGGGAGGCAGCAGUGAGGAAUAUUGGUCAAUGG
rnacentral:rRNA from 1 species